rnacentral:rRNA from 1 species
UACGGAGGGGGCAAGCGUUGUUCGGAAUUACUGGGCGUAAAGGGCGCGCAGGCGGCUGCUCAAGUCAGGCGUGAAAGGCCUGGGCUCAACCCGGGAAUUGCGCUUGAGACUGGGCUGGCUUGAGUGCGGGAGAGGAUGGUGGAAUUCCGAGUGUAGAGGUGAAAUUCGUAGAUAUUGGGAAGAACACCGGUGGCGAAGGCGGCCAUCUGGACCGCAACUGACGCUGAGGCGCGAAAGCGUGGGGAGCGAACAGG